rnacentral:rRNA from 1 species
UGGGGAAUAUUGCACAAUGGGCGCAAGCCUGAUGCAGCCAUGCCGCGUGUGUGAAGAAGGCCUUCGGGUUGUAAAGCACUUUCAGCGAGGAGGAAGGUGGUGAGCUUAAUACGCUCAUCAAUUGACGUUACUCGCAGAAGAAGCACCGGCUAACUCCGUGCCAGCAGCCGCGGUAAUACGGAGGGUGCAAGCGUUAAUCGGAAUUACUGGGCGUAAAGCGCACGCAGGCGGUUUGUUAAGUCAGAUGUGAAAUCCCCGGGCUCAACCUGGGAACUGCAUUUGAAACUGGCAAGCUAGAGUCUCGUAGAGGGGGGUAGAAUUCCAGGUGUAGCGGUGAAAUGCGUAGAGAUCUGGAGGAAUACCGGUGGCGAAGGCGGCCCCCUGGACGAAGACUGACGCUCAGGUGCGAAAGCGUGGGGAGCAAAACAGGAUUAGAUACCCUGGUAGUCCACGCUGUAAACGAUGUCGAUUUUGGAGGUUGUGCCCUUGAGGCGUGGCUUCCGGAGCUAACGCGUUAAAUCGACCGCCUGGGGAGUACGGCCGCAAGGUUAAAACUCAAAUGAAUUGAC